GUCUCAAUAUAACUAGAGUCCUUACACCUUUCCUAUCUACUGGAUACAGUCUUACUGAACCAAACGGGGGUCAUAGACAAUCAGCGUCAAUAAGACACAAAAAGGCUACUCACCGCAAUGGUUUUGCUGAUCCAUCCAUCCCACUUCUAGACACCAAGCUGAAAGGGUUAAUGUUGUAAUGGACUCUAAUCCCCUCGGUUCUCGAUCCCUCGGUCACCAUAAUCAAUGUUGA
rnacentral:lncRNA from 1 species